rnacentral:lncRNA from 1 species
CAUAGACAAAUCUUAUUGCUUGUGAUUAGAUUUUAAAUGAAUUUUGGUUCUAGAUUGCUAUAUGGUGUCUCCGCUGGUUUGAGAUAAAACUAGAAGAUAACAUUAGUACAUAACAUGCAAGCAGAGAACUUUGAAAGCAAACUGGCAACUAUAGUCCUUCGAUUGCAUAUUGAUAUGAUUUAUUUAACAUAGGGCAAACAAAGCCAGACAGCGACUU